GCGGGCGGGAAGAGGCGGCGGCACCGUCCCCACGGGGCGGGCCCGCUCGGGGCCUGGUGACACCAGGGCAGCGCAGGCAGGAUGCGCAUCUCCUGCAAAACUGCUUGCUCCAGUUCCUAAAUUGCUACAGUCCCUUUGCUACACUGGAAAAUGACCAGAGAGCCUGUCAAGGUCCCAAAACUGGGACAGGUGUUCCUCUGAUCUUCCUGGCAUCUACAUCUGUGAAAAAAAAAUCCUGCUUUGAAGGACAUUGUGUUGUUAAUAGGCCAACAUGGCUUUUUGAGGAAGGCUUUGCAUUUAUUCCUGAAUGAAAUCAAACUGCAGAAUCAUCAAUAAUGUGUAUGCAAAGUUUAUAAUCUGUGGCUGAAUUCUGAAAUAAGCAUAACCAGAACUCAAUCACAGAAGAAUCAAAUAUGUGACUAUAGAAGCACAUAAGAAGUA